rnacentral:rRNA from 1 species
AUUUUGGACAAUGGGGGAAGCCCUGAUCCAGCCAUCCCGCGUGUAUGAUGAAGGCCUUCGGGUUGUAAAGUACUUUUGGAAGAGAAGAAAAGGUAUACCCUAACACCGGAGACUGGUGACGGUAUCUGCAGAAUAAGCACCGGCUAACUACGUGCCAGCAGCCGCGGUAAUACGUAGGGUGCAAGCGGUAAUCGGGAUUACUGGGGGUUAAGCGUGUGUAGGCGGUUCGGAAAGAAAGAUGUGAAAUCCCAGGGCUCAACCUUGGAACUGCAUUUUUAACUGCCGAGCUAGAGUAUGUCAGAGGGGGGUAGAAUUACACGUGUAGCAGUGAAAUGCGUAGAUAUGUGGAGGAAUACCGAUGGCGAAGGCAGCCCCCUGGGAUAAUACUGACGCUCAGACACGAAAGCGUGGGGAGCAAACAGG